CAGUCGCCGCGGUAAUACGUAGGUGGCAAGCGUUGUCCGGAAUUAUUGGGCGUAAAGGGCUCGCAGGCGGUUUCUUAAGUCUGAUGUGAAAGCCCCCGGCUCAACCGGGGAGGGUCAUUGGAAACUGGGAAACUUGAGUGCAGAAGAGGAGAGUGGAAUUCCACGUGUAGCGGUGAAAUGCGUAGAGAUGUGGAGGAACACCAGUGGCGAAGGCGACUCUUCGGUCUGUAACUGACGCUGAGGAGCGAAAGCGUGGGGAGCGAACAGGAUUAGAUACCCCCGUAGUCCCUGUCUCUUAUAC
rnacentral:rRNA from 1 species